GGAACAUUAGAAAAUGUUUAAGAAUUUAAUAACACACUUUAAAAAAUUAUGGAAUGUUCAAGAAAUUUCGAAAAAUUUUUUAAUAUGACCCAUAAUAAAAUAAUCUACAGCGACUUCUAGAUAUGUACAGCUGUGAUAUAAGUAUAAGAAGCGUUUCAUAAAACAGUAUUAUUGAAUUCAAACUAUCGUCCCGUUAGGUCUACUUAAUUUAGACUAAUUACUAUUACUCGUCACGAAAAUAAAGUAAGUAGAAAACUUACAAAAAAUGUUGCUAAUUAUUACAAUAAAAUUAUUGAUUGUGUCGAGUGUGAUGUCAGAGAUAAUAACAGUUUGCAAGUUGGAAAACUCAUAUUGUUACGAUAACGAGGAAUGUUGUUCAAAUUUCUGUCAACCGUUAGAAUUGAAUUUAAUUCGCAAUAUCUGCAAGACUGUAAUAGAUAAUUGCGCAGAAAUUGGAACGAUUUGUGAGAAUUCCGAUGAAUGCUGUACCAAAUUUUGUCGACCUCAAUCGAGUCCAAAUGUUAUUGGAUUAUGUGAUGCUCGUCCUAGAUCUCCUCUGAUGUCAAAAGUCCGCGAUUAAUUACAUUAAUAUAAAAAAAUUCAUCUUCAAAUUUUAAAUCAGAGAAUUUGAGAAAAAAUAUUCGACUUAUUGUUAGGAAUGAUCUUAAAAUUCAAGUAACUACAAGGACCCAAAAUAUUUAAAAAAUUAUAUGCACUAAUCAAAUUGUAAUUCUUUUAGUUUUCCGAUUUAUUGAAAAAAAUUUCUUUCUUUGUGAAAUAAAAUUCAAUGAUUUAUAGAUAUUUAAUUUCUCCUAUAUUAUCUAUAAUUAGAUUUUAUGUCAGGCAUUUCAACAAUGAUUCAAUUGCCAUUAAAAAACAAGUCGGUAAUUAUAUUUUUACGAUAAUUAUGGCAAUUAACUGUCGGGUAAUAAAAAAAAAGCAGUGUCAGUCUUAUCUUGUCAUAUAUCACUAUAAAAAAAUAUGUCAAUUUUUUUAUGAGUAUCCGAAGAUUA